GGCUCAGGACGAACGCUGGCGGCGUGCCUAAUACAUGCAAGUCGAACGGUCUUUCUAUGGAAGCUUGCUUCCACUGAGAAGAUAGUGGCGAACGGGUGAGUAACACGUGGGUAACCUGCCCAUAAGAGGGGGGAUAACAUCCGGAAACGGGUGCUAAUACCGCAUAGUUUUCUUGAUCGCAUGAUCGGGAAAGGAAAGACGGCCUUUGUGCUGUCGCUUAUGGAUGGACCCGCGGCGUAUUAGUUAGUUGGUGAGGUAACGGCUCACCAAGACGAUGAUACGUAGCCGACCUGAGAGGGUGAUCGGCCACAUUGGGACUGAGACACGGCCCAAACUCCUACGGGAGGCAGCAGUAGGGAAUCUUCCGCAAUGGACGAAAGUCUGACGGAGCAACGCCGCGUGAGUGAAAGAAGGUUUUCGGAUCGUAAAACUCUGUUGUCAGAGAAGAACAAGUUGGAGAGUAACUGCUCCAGCCUUGACGGUAUCUGACCAGAAAGCCACGGCUAACUACGUGCCAGCCGCGGC
rnacentral:rRNA from 1 species